rnacentral:rRNA from 1 species
UACAGAGGUCUCAAGCGUUGUUCGGAUUCAUUGGGCGUAAAGGGUGCGUAGGCGGCGCGGUAAGUCGGGUGUGAAAUCUUGGAGCUUAACUCCGAAACUGCAUUCGAUACUGCCGUGCUUGAGGACUGGAGAGGAGACUGGAAUUUACGGUGUAGCGGUGAAAUGCGUAGAUAUCGUAAGGAAGACCAGUGGCGAAGGCGGGUCUCUGGGCCGGAACUGACGCUGAGGAGCGAAAGCGUGGGAGCGAACAGG